rnacentral:lncRNA from 1 species
CACCCUCGCGCGCACGCCCGCGCCCGGCACACGCCCGCGGCUGGCACACGCUGGCUCCCCCGCGCACCCUCACUGGGGCUGGCCGGCUCGGGGCCGCUCGCACUGUCACGCGCCUACACACAUCACCCCCGCACCCGCAUGCCGGGCAGGGUCCUCGCCUCUUCGCCCCGCGCCGCGCCACGCAGCCAAGCAUCGUCUGCCCGGCUGGGGCGCAGGUACCGGGGGCGGUGGGGGGAGGAGAGAGAGAGGGAGCAGCCAUUUGAACUCGGAGUGGGAGAACAGGCUUCCCUGAGCCACAGAGCCCUGUUCACGCCACUCGAGGCAAGAAGACACCUCCUCAGAAAGAGGGUGGACCGGAAGAAACACACAGAAAGCCCAACAGAUUGUGCUCAGUCUUUCUGGUUCUACCGUAGCAGCGUCAACAAAGCACAAGG